rnacentral:rRNA from 1 species
ACGCUCGACACCUACAGGAGGCAGCAGUGGGGAAUAUUGCACAAUGGGGGAAACCCUGAUGCAGCAACGCCGCGUGAAGGAAGACGGUUUUCGGAUUGUAAACUUCUGUUCUUAGUGAAGAUAGUGACGGUAGCUAAGGAGCAAGCCACGGCUAACUACGUGCCAGCAGCCGACGGUUAAUCUGAGGCCGGGCGUGGACGAAGGC